rnacentral:sRNA from 1 species
UACCUCGUAUACAGGUGGGGUAGGAUGC